CCGCUCCUUGUCCCUGUAGGCAGGGGAUGCUCCCAAAGUCUAGGGCCCUGUCAGUGUCCCUCUUGCCAGAUGGCCCUGGGCAGGGUCUGCCCCCUGCCAGGGUGUGCCCCAAACAGGACACUGGGCAGAAACCAGGAGGGGUGGUGAAGGGAGCCCCGUCCGCCCUGGCCCUGCCGAGGUGUCUGGCAAAGGUGGAGAGUCCAGCCCCAGCCAGGACAGGGCUCCCCUAGGUGGCGUGGAGCUGGCGCUGGGCCUCCCUGACCCAGGCCCUGCCCUGGCCCACCUAUCUGGUCACCAGCAUCGGACAGCAGGUGACACUCCAGGUCGCCCGCCAGGUAACCCAGCCGUCUCCAUGGAGCCCUGGCCGCAGGCCAGGGCCACUGCCGGGAGUAGAGGUCACCAGUGACUGGUGAGCCAACUGAGGCACAGAGGGUGCAGGGCUUCCAGGUCCGGCCGGGGGGCCCAGCAGGCUCGGGCUGAGCGGCAGAAGGGCUGCGGGCUGGGGACCCACAUGCUCCCAACUCCAACUCUCCGUCCCUUGCCCCAAGCUCGGAGGCUCCUCUGACCCUCGGGCUCUCAGCACCAACAGGUUGGCGAGCGGCGGGCACCCAGGAGGCCCCAAGGACCCGCCCCGCUCCGGGAGAAGGCGGACGAGGCCCUGGGCUUAGACUUCUGGGCUGCUCCCGUACACAGCGGGUGCUCACUAAGUGCAGGUCGCCAAGGACCGCGGGCCGUGUCUCCCCUCAUCAGAAAACAACCAGGCACUUUCCGACCUCAGGGCCUCUGCUCAGUGGCUCCUCCGCUGGAUCACCGCCCCCAGAUUCUUGCCUCCUCCUCCGUCUGGUUCAGGCUUCAUGAUUGCUUUAUUAGAAAGUUCUUUGCUUGCUGGGUGUGGUGCACGCCUGUGAUCCCAGCACUCUGGGAGGCUGAGGCAGGAGGAUCACAAGUUCAAGCCCAUCCUGGGCAAUUUAGCAACUUAGCAAGACCCUGUCUCAAAAUUAGAUAAAGGGCUGGGGAUGCAGCUCAGUGUGAGCCCUGG